GGGAUUGCCUUAGUAACUGCGAGUGAAGCGGCAAAAGCUCAAAUUUGAAAUCGGCGUCCUUUGCGGGCAUCGAGUUGUAAUUUGGAGGGAUAACUUCGGUACAGACUACAUCGUAAGUUCCUUGGAACAGGACGUCAUAGAGGGUGAGAAUCCCGUGUCUUGGUGUUUGGCUGUGCCAUGUGAAGUGUCUCCGACGAGUCGAGUUGUUUGGGAAUGCAGCUCAAAAUGGGUGGUAAAUUUCAUCUAAAGCUAAAUAUUGGCGAGAGACCGAUAGCGCACAAGUAGAGUGAUCGAAAGAUGAAAAGCACUUUGAAAAGAGAGUUAAAAAGUACGUGAAAUUGUUGAAAGGGAAGCGCUUGCGACCAGACUCGAUCUUUGGUGAUCAGCCGGGCUUCGGUCCGGUGCCCUUACCAUUGAUUGGGCCAGCAUCGGUUCCGACGGCGGGAUAAAAGGAGGAGGAAUGUGGCUCCCUUCGGGGAGUGUUAUAGCCUUCUUCACAAUGCCGCCAGUUGGGACCGAGGACCGCGCUUCGGCUAGGAUGCUGGCGUAAUGGUCUUAAGCGACCCGUCUUGAAACACGGACCAAGGAGUCUAACAUCUAUGCGAGUGUUCGGGUGGAAAACCCUUGCGCGUAAUGAAAGUGAACGGAGGUGUGAACCCUUUACCGGGUGCAACAUCGACCGGUCCUGAUGUCUUCGGAAGGAUCUGAGUAAGAGCAUAGCUGUUGGGACCCGAAAGAUGGUGAACUAUGCCUGAAUAGGGUGAAGCCAGAGGAAACUCUGGUGGAGGCUCGCAGCGGUUCUGACGUGCAA
rnacentral:rRNA from 1 species